AAAAAAAAUUAAAUAUAAUAAUAAUGAUAAUGAAAUAUACAGUUGCAAAAAAAAUCCAUUCAGAAGAAAAACACGUAGACCUUGAACACAUCUUCAUCAUCAUCGUCAUCAUCAGCAUCAUCAUCAUACGUAUUCAAGACAAAGACUUGUUGAAAAUAAAUGUAGAAAUGAAGCAAAAGAAAAAAAACAAUAAUGGAAUUCUGGAAUUGAUGGUACCAUCGUCAUCGUCGAAUUCCAUUUCAAGAUGGAAUGAAUUGAAAAAAAAAAAAAAUCAUACCACACAAUGGAAAAAAAAUUUCGAAUAUUUGAUUAUGGCCAACUACUACUACUACUACUACUGAUGUUGCAUAUCGAUUAUUAAUAAUCGACAUUUUUUCGAGACAAUGCAAAUAAUGCGAUGAAAUAUUGUGGAAUGAUCAUUAAAAAAAAAUGAUGAUGAUUCAUCUACAAAUACAAUCGAAUUGAAGAAAAUCAAUCAAAAUUGACCACAGCAUAAA